rnacentral:misc_RNA from 1 species
CGGGAUCUGCUCGGUCCGUACACAUGGGCGCAAGACUCCGGUGGCCUUACGCAACCGUACGGGAGCUGGCUCUGUUAGGACCCUGGUUCUAUUACCUGGCACCCACCUGAUAUAAUCAGGCUUCGGGAGCAUACGCGCUGCUACGGCUGCUGCGGUCCCCCG